UACGGAGGGAGCAAGCGUUACUCGGAAUUACUGGGCGUAAAGGGCUCGUAGGCGGCCAACUAAGUCCGACGUGAAAUCCCAAAGCUUAACUUUGGAACUGCGUCGGAUACUGGAUGGCUUGAAUUCGGGAGAGGGAUGCAGAAUUCCAGGUGUAGCGGUGAAAUGCGUAGAUAUCUGGAGGAAUACCGGUGGCGAAGGCGGCAUCCUGGACCGACAUUGACGCUGAACGGCGAAAGCUAGGGGAGCAAACGGG
rnacentral:rRNA from 1 species